rnacentral:lncRNA from 1 species
AAACAGUGAUGAGGUUGAUGCUUGAAAACAAUGUGUAGCAAAUGAGUCCUAAUUCAGCAAAUAGACUCUUACAUACCCAUAUUCCCAGCUAAAGCUUAAAGCGAAUUGCGUGUAACAUGAUGAACGCCUAGAGAUAUAAACAGGUACAAUUACAAAUCCGACUGCUCAAACUUGAACCAAAACAGACUUCCAACUAAGAACAAGUUAAAAUAGAGAAGACAACAAGAAGAUGUUCAAAAAGCCAACAAAUUGUUUUUCAUACGAUGUUUGGAAUUUAAACAAGACAUAAAUAAAGAAAGGAAGUGAUACCUUCUUCAGGGAAGCAAGACCGGGACUGGGCGAGCAGGAGUCAAACUUUACCACGAGAAGACUUGCACGCGAACAAUAAGCGAAGAUUUCGACGGAAGUUUGAACUUAAACCCUAAAAUAGUUUCUUCUAUGUUCACAAAGUAUACUUAAGUGUAUUCUAAAUUAUUUCUCUCAAGCUUUCUUUGCAUUAGUGAAAAUUUCCUACUAGAAUUUUCCCCCAAACAAAAUCCCCCUCCUUUGUGUGAAGAAAAAGAGAAUAUAUAUGCCCAGAAUUAGGGUUCUCCAAAGGGGGGAAACGAAUUCAAAAUAUGAAAAGAGAAAAACUCACUAUUAAGGGAAUCACUCUUUUCUUUUAAGAAUUUGACUCAUUCCAGAAGAGCAAAGGGGGUGGGCGGCUAGGAUCGAUUGCUUAUCCUUGGGGUGCUAGGUGGUGUGAUCUCCCGUUGCCAAGGGCGGAGCCGCGUGACUUGCUCGAUAGAAAAAUGCAGGUGCCCUUCUGUACGCACAAAAGGCGACGCUGGUCGUGAGUCAUGCGCCAAAGGAUGUGAACGUCUUCAUCGCGCACUUAAUCGUUUGAAAUCAUUGGAAUCACGGAUGGAGUUUCCGCGUUGAUGCCCACGCACUUGUCGUCGUCCGCUCCAUGUAUAUUCGUUGAAGUCUCUGUUGCACAGGAGAUUAUGGAUUUCUUUGUAGUUUGUUGAAGAUGAGAAAGGGUAUUUGGUCCGGAUAUUGGGAUAAGGUGGGUCAGGUAAAUUUAGAUGGCUGGGAUGAUUUUGGGGCUGGGAAUUAAAGGGAAUUACGGGG